AAGAUGUUAUACUUCACAGUAAGGGCUAGUUUCUAAACAUGAAAGAACACAUAGCUUAUGUAACAUGACAUUUGUUGGAGAAUAUGCCCUAGAAAAUCAUGAUAUCACAGAUAUAUACUAAAUAUCUGAAGGAGAUUACGGAGAAAACAUUUCCAGCGGAGGAGUUCUUUAAUAUAGACAGAGCUUGUUUCAGAAUUGGUAUCUUCCUGAAUAUUUGGCUGCUUGGAAAAAGUUACAUUGGUGCCGGGAUUCAGCCCUUGCCUGGACAGAGGUGGCCGCUAGAGUCAUCAGCAUGGACACUGGCACCAGUGACUACAUAGGUCCCAGGAUCGUAGCCAGCCACCUCGGGUGCCUCCGGAGACCACUUGAGAAGUGCAGAGACUGUGGGCCAGCCCCUCAUUCUUGUCUGAGACAGUGAUGCCCUCCCCACUCAGUAAUUAUGCACAGCUAGCAGAGCUCUGAAAUGAAUGGCUUCAUUUAAUCACAAAAGAAGGAAUACCAGCAAGACCACCCAGGCCCCAGCUCCGGUUUUUCCUGAAGAAUUUGGCCGCAUCUCCCUUUUUGAAGGCAGAGUUUCAUCUUGCUCCAGGGAGAAGCAACUUCCUGGGCAUGCGUGUUAAGAGACAAAAAAUGAUGACGUUUGAUGACCACUCCACCAGAAAAGGGAAGAAAGCCUGAGGGGCCUGCGUGGACCUCCCUAAACACACUGCGCAUGCUCCAUUCCAAACGGUAUGGCGAGCACUGCGCAUGCGGGAAACCCACCCUGUAAGGGAAGAAUCCUGGGAAAGAGGCAAGCCUAUGAAGUCCCAGGAUCAAGGUUAAAGACCCUCUUUUUUACUGUCUUCUUGUGCUCUCUUUUCUCUCUUGGACCUUCAGGCGCCUGCUUGGGUCUCUUUCAAGCGAAUUUUGCUUUCUUUCCUGUUCUAAAGCCUUUUAACUAAACUUCCACUCCUGCUCUGAAACUUGCUCUCUUUUUCUGCCUUAACGCCCCUCAGUCGAAUUCUUUCUUCUGAGGAGGCAAGGACUGAAGUUGCUGUGGACCCAUAGGGAUUCGCCAUUGGUAACUCGGGGUAACUCGGCUCUCUUCCACUGCUGACGUAUGUAGCAAGUCCUGUCUUCGGGUUGGCAGGCACCACGGCUGACACCACAUGCGCAGAGAGAGGGGAAAGACCAAGAAGUGACUCAUGACAUCACCCUCGUCUCUGAAAGACAAGAUGUUGGUCUCCUCAGGUGCCGUGCAGUCUUCAGUGUUGGCUGCAGCCACAGCCCCUGCAAUGCAGACCAGGAUGAGGGAAAGCCGCUGGAAGAGGCCUACAGCAUUUUUUAUUAGUAAAUCCAGAGGACGUGUUAUAUAAAGUGUAAGACAACCACCA
rnacentral:lncRNA from 10 species